ensembl:miRNA Mir876 microRNA 876
UGAAGUGCUGUGGAUUUCUUUGUGAAUCACCAUAUCAAAUCUAAUUUGGUGGUUUACAAAGUAAUUCAUAGUGCUUCA